GACGAACGCUGGCGGCGUGCUUAACACAUGCAAGUCGAACGGAAAGGCCCUGCUUUUGUGGGGUGCUCGAGUGGCGAACGGGUGAGUAACACGUGAGUAACCUGCCCUUGACUUUGGGAUAACUUCAGGAAACUGGGGCUAAUACCGGCUAGGAUCUCCUGCUGCAUGGUGGGGGUUGGAAAGUUUCGGCGGUUGGGGAUGGACUCGCGGCUUAUCAGCUUGUUGGUUGGGUAGUGGCUGACCAAGGCUUGGACGCGUAGCAGGGCUGAGAGGGGAACCGGCCCAACCGGGAUGGAGAUACGGCACAGCCUCCUCCGGGACGGAACAGUGGGGAAUAGUGUACAAUGGGCGGAACCCUGAUGCAGCACAGCCGCGCGGGGGAUGAGGGCCUGGGCGUUGUAAACCGCUUCCGCCUGUGACGAAGCGUGAGUGACGGUACUGGGUAAAGAAGCACCGGCUAACUCCGUG
rnacentral:rRNA from 1 species